AACCAAGUAACAUGGACUCCGAAUAAAAGACCAUCCAUACUAUAAGAACUUCUUCCCUUGGAAGGUGGCAAAUCUGUGGAGCUAUUUACUCCAAACGGCUGUGGAAGUUCAGUCAUUGGAUUGGAAAAAGUAGCAACGUAUCUUUAUCACAGUCCAGUCCUUCAACUACAACAAACCCUGUACAUGGUAACAGACAACCAAAAGUUCAUCAGUGAAAGCUGACUUUAUGAGGUAAUAGUCUAAGACAGUGGUUACAAAUGACACUGGUACUUGCCUUCAACUGUUCGAUGGACUGCAUCGAUAAGAUGAAAACCUCUGCUCUGAAGACGUGAAGAGCCCUCCCUCUCAGCCAAUACCUCCUAGCGGCCUUUUCCCCCGUUCUUUUAGCAAUGGUGAAUGAGUGUGCGAUGACUUACCAAUCAUUCCUUUAUUGUCGGUGCGAAAACCCUAUUUCACUUGUUCUCUUUGGUGGUUUAGGGAUGCCCAAUACAACGCAAUAUAACAAAUUCUAGAAAAGCCACGAUAAUCAUGAUUUUAUUUCCCUUCACUCCUUCCCAUGGGGAUAAUUAUAAUCAGCAAUGUUAAUCAUGAUCUAAACGAUUUGGCAAAAGCAUAAAGCUAAACGUUAUCAAAAUCUAUUUUUUAUCUGGAUGUUUUUUAAAAUUGUUGGCAAUUGGCAGGAUUUAUGGAAUCCAACCUGAUUACAAUUUGUAUCCCUAUAGGUUUUAUAUAAAGGAUAUAUCCAAUCAUUUAAAAUGAUAUGUGACAUGGCAGGUUUUGCGCAGUGUGAGACAUUUAAGGAAAAUGUCUGACCUUUGUUGUACCAGCACUCAGUUUAAUAUUGCAUUUGUAAUUCGAUCCCUGAAGGGACCCAGUUACUAGAAAACAAAAAUCUACAUUUUUACAUACAAUUUUUUUUUGCCGAUGACAAAUUACCAUUUUAAACAAUGAAGAGGCUAAUGGAAACGUGGUUGCUGCCAGCUUUGUAUCAGAGGAUGUUAUAACAAGGUGGAGUUUUCUAGUUUUAUAAUGUCAUGAGUGUAUUUGCAGGGGGACUGUUGAGAGAUAAGUCCAGAGCAAGGGUAAAGGAAGUGUUAAUGAUGUUUUAUAAUUCAGUGUUAAAAGUGCACUUAUUUGUGAUGGAUUCUUCCCAAUUAGAAAAGGGCAGGUAUGGAUUAACAAAGGACAAGGAUGUUCUUGUAAUAGGGAUGGAUUUUUAAGGUUUUUAAUAAUGGAUAGUAGUUAAAAGAGAAGGACAUUCUGUAAAAUAAACUAAAGCUGGUGUGCAGAGACUGUUAGAAUGAAGUUAUGGCACAGAGAAAUAUUUUUCGUAAGCUAAUCAUCAUCCUCCCAGUUCUUCUAAUUGUUCAUAUUAAUUUUCAUUAAUUUAUGAUUUAUCAUUUUAUUAAUGCUCUAACUGACCAGGAUAGGUUCAGACAUAGAAUUUAGGAAAGUCAGAAGUUGUGCGUUUAUAUAUUUUUUAAAUAAAUUUGGAUUGAACUUUUGCUAUGUACAUUUUGUUAGACUGAAGAUUGUGUACAUAUCUGUUGUUAUUUUUGCACAGAUGUUUGUCAUGGUUAGCUUAGGAGCUUAUAAGUAUUUUAAUUUUUCUAAUUUAUUGUGGGUUGUUAUAAAACUACAGGGGGUGGGAAAUAAUUCCCAAUAAUUAGAAUAAUUUUUAUAUAUAUAUUAUGAAACAAAAGCUGAAGUCUGUCGUGAAUACAAAUUUUCCUUCUGAAACUGGCUGUGCUCGUCAGAAACUGCUAUAGGGCAGUGAGAUGCAAAAGUAGUCCAUGACUGAAGGGGACAAUUUGGUAACCAUAAAAGGUGUCAGUGCUUGCCCACAUGGUGGGUUUUAGUAUUGCAUAUUAUACCAAUACAAAUCAUGGACGCAAUGCAUAAGCCUGUCAGCCAUAAAGAGACAGCAGAAAUACUGUAUGCCUUCUUUUGUAUUAAUGUAACAAUUGUAUAUAAAGCUGAUCAAAAACUUUGUAGAAAAUAGUUUAUACAGCAUUAUUAUAUUAUUGCUGAAUCUCAGUGAAUUCUUGGGAAAAGAAAGUUUUUCUAUUUACACCUUAUUUUUUGUUACACUGUUGACCCAUGGCAUUUUGACAAAACUCUGUGGGUUUUGCAUUGCUGGUCAGUCAUGGGUGUGUUAAUACUGCUGUUGCACAGACAAGAAUUUGCACCUGCCUCAUUGUGCUUUCCUACUGCAGAAUUCAAUUUAUCCCCCAUUCAAAGAUAAUGAAAGCAUGUAAAAAUAAUCCUGCGUGCCAUACUGUAACUGUUCUGUUUUUGUAAAUGGAUUUAAUAACACUACGUAUUUUCAAUUUGCUUUGUGCACUUUUCUUUUUCAUCUCUUCCUCUACCAGCCCCCACUCCCACAGCAGUGUCAUUGCAUUCAUUUCAUGCCUACCUUCAUCUUUGUGGUAUUGUUAACAGAAUGGUGUCUAGAAUAGCUGUAAAUAGUUAAUUUGAUGGCGUACAGAGAAAAUAAAUGGAACAAACCUUGUUUCUGAUUGAUACUGCCAUGGUUCAACACCCAGCUUGGAGAUAUUCUCUAGUGAGGGAUGUUUUAUUUUGUUUUGUUUUGUAACAGGCUUUGUAAAUAAAAAAAUAAUUUAUAUGUUUGUAAGAA